ACCCUCCGGUUUGUCUUCAGAUCGUAUAAAUCUUUCGGCUUUUACUAAAGAUUUCCGUGGGGAGGAACGGGAGGAACGCGUACGAGUCUUACGAAAAUUUUUGUGGCACCAUGACGGUGGAGCC